GUAUAUAUGGCUGAGCGGUAAAGCGCUUGGCUUCUGAACCGGAGUUCCGGGCUCAAACCCUGGUGAAGACU
rnacentral:tRNA from 1 species